rnacentral:lncRNA from 1 species
CUCCAUCAGCGGUUGAGCCCCCGUCCGUGGUCAGGCAAGCUUUGGAGUGUGUCCAAUGAGAAGGAAUUAUUAUCUCAUUUGACGGAGGAGGAAACAAACUCAGAGGACCUGGGAAAGAUACUUAGUAUGGCAAGAGGGAUUUUGCAGGUGUGACUACAUGAAGAAGUUUGAAAUCAUCAUGGAUUAGCCUGCAGGAGCUGGAUGUGCCUGGUGUAAUCACACCGUCCUUAUAAGAGCGAUGCAGAGGGUCAGGGUCACAGGAGAAGGUCCUCACCAAUCUGAUGUACUUUGAACAUGGAAGAAGGGGCCUCAGCCAAGGAAUAUGGCAGCCCCUAGAGACUAAAAGAGGC